UAAGGGAAUGUUCUAGAACAUUCCAAAAUAAUAACUCAAAUCUUAAUUUAUUUGUGUUUAUUAAAAUGCCUUUGAAGUCUUGUUAGAAAUCAGGAGAAUUUAGAGAAUCGAACUCAGGACCCUGGACUUGCCAAAUGUGCGCCUUUAGCAGUCGGCCAAGACAACAAGUUUCAUCGCUAAUAUAUACAGCAAAAUAAUUUAAAAUUAUUGCCUCAAAUAAAGAAAUUUAAAGUAUUUUAAUUUUUUAUUAAAUUCUUUUAUUAAUCCUGAUAAUAACUGGUACAAGCAAACUGUAACAUAGCAUGAUAUAUUUUUAUCAUAAAA